UGCAGUCGAGCGGAUGAAGGUAGCUUGCUACCUGAUUCAGCGGCGGACGGGUGACUAAUGCCUAGGAAUCUGCGUGGGAGUGGGGGACACCGUUUCGAAAGGAACGCUAAUACCGCAUACGUCCUACGGGAAAAAGUGGGGGAUCUUCAGACCUCGCGCUAUCAUAUGAGCCUAGGUCGGAUUAGCUAGUUGGUGAGGUAAUGGCUCACCGAGGCGACGAUCCGCACCUGGUCUGAGAGGAUGAUCAGUCACGCUGGAACUGACACACGGUCCGGACUCCUACGGGAGGCAGCAGUGGGGAAUAUUGGACAAUGGGCGAAAGCCUGAUCCAGCCAUGCCGCGUGCGUGAAGAACGUCUUCGGAUUGAAAAGCACUUUAAGUUGGGAGGAAGGGGUGUAACCUAAUACGUUGCAAUUUUGACGUUACCGACGGAAUAGGCACCGGCUGACUCUGUGCCAGCAGCCGCGUUAAUACAGAGGGUGCAAGCGUUAAUCGGAAUUACUGGGCGUAUAGCGCGCGUAGGUGGUUUGUUAAGUUGGAUGUGAAAGCCCCGGGCUCAGCCUGUGAACUGCAUCCAAAACUGGAAAGCUAGAGUACGGUAGAGGGUGGUGGAAUUUCCUGUGUAGCG
rnacentral:rRNA from 1 species